GGGGCCGUAGUCUAGCUUGGUCUAGGACGCCACCUUGGGGUGGUGGUAGCCCGAGUUCAAAUCUCGGCGGCCCCA
rnacentral:tRNA from 1 species